GACGAACGCUGGCGGCGUGCUUAACACAUGCAAGUCGAACGGAAAGGCCCUGCUUUUGUGGGGUGCUCGAGUGGCGAACGGGUGAGUAACACGUGAGUAACCUGCCCUUGACUUUGGGAUAACUUCAGGAAACUGGGGCUAAUACCGGAUAGGAGCUCCUGCUGCAUGGUGGGGGUUGGAAAGUUUCGGCGGUUGGGGAUGGACUCGCGGCUUAUCAGCUUGUUGGUGGGGUAGUGGCUUACCAAGGCUUUGACGGGUAGCCGGCCUGAGAGGGUGACCGGCCACAUUGGGACUGAGAUACGGCCCAGACUCCUACGGGAGGCAGCAGUGGGGAAUAUUGCACAAUGGGCGGAAGCCUGAUGCAGCAACGCCGCGUGCGGGAUGACGGCCUUCGGGUUGUAAACCGCUUUCGCCUGUGACGAAGCGUGAGUGACGGUAAUGGGUAAAGAAUCACCGGCUAACUACGU
rnacentral:rRNA from 1 species